CGGGGCGUAGCGCAGCCUGGUAGCGCACUGUGUUCGGGACGCAGGGGUCGGAGGUUCAAAUCCUCUCGCCCCGA
rnacentral:tRNA from 1 species